GAUGAAGAGCAGCGAAAUGCGAUACGUAAUGUGAAUUGCAGAAUUCAGUGAAUCAUCGAAUCUUUGAACGCACAUUGCACUCUCUGGUAUUCCGGAGAGUAUGCUUGUUUGAGUAUCUGUAAACAUCUCAAAUCUCUCUUCAAUUGCUUCAAUUGGGUCGAGAGAAUUGGAUUUGAGCGAUCCCGACUCCUUCGUCAGAAAGAGGAGGGUCGCUUGAAAUGCAGGUGCAGCUGGACAUUCUUCUGAGCAAAAAGCAUAUCUAUUUAGUCCCGUCAAACGGAUUAUUACUUUUGCUUCAGCUAAUAUAAAGGUUGAAUGAACUACCAACGCUGAUUGCAGGAAAACAUGUUCGUUUAUUCGGACUUGUAAACUCGAUCUCAAAUCAAGUAAGACUACCCGCUGAACUUAAGCAUAUCAAUAAGCGGAGGA
rnacentral:misc_RNA from 1 species